GAUGAACGCUGGCGGCGUGCCUAAUACAUGCAAGUCGAACGAACGGACGAGACUCUUGCUUCUCUGAUGUUAGCGGAGGACGGGUGUGUAACACGUGGAUCCCCUCCCUAUCUGACUGGUAUCACUUCGGAAAACCGGAGCUAAUACCGGAUAAUCUUUUGAUCCGUAUGGUUGAUUAGUGAAUGUCGGUCUUGCUGUCUCUUCUCGAUGGUUCCGCGCUGCAUUAGCUAGUUGGUAAGGUAACGGCUUUCCAAGGGAACGAUGCGUAAGCGACCGCAUAGAGGGAUCGGCGACAUUGGAACGUGGACACGCUCAAUACUCCUACGAUAGGCAGCAGUAGGGAAUCUUCCGCAAUGGUCGAAAGCCUUACGGAGUAACGCCGCGCGAGUGAUGGAGGUCUUCCGAUCGUAAAACUCUGUUAUGAGGUAAGAACAGAUGUGUAAUGAGCUGUGCACAUCGUGACGGUACUGAAUCAGAAAGCCCCGGCUAACUACGUG
rnacentral:rRNA from 1 species